GGUAAAGUGGCCAGGGAUGGUCUGGAACACCAUUUGGCAUAAGAGUUAGCAGCUUCAAAUCUGCACACCUGGGUUCGAAUCUCAGCUUUGUCA
rnacentral:tRNA from 1 species